UACGAAGGGGGCUAGCGUUGUUCGGAAUUACUGGGCGUAAAGCGCACGUAGGCGGACAUUUAAGUCAGGGGUGAAAUCCCGGGGCUCAACCCCGGAACGGCCUUUGAUACUGGGUGUCUUGAGUUCGGAAGAGGUGAGUGGAAUUGCGAGUGGUAGAGGUGAAAUUCGUAGAUAUUCGCAGGAACACCAGUGGCGAAGGCGGCUCACUGGUCCGAUACUGACGCUGAGGUGCGAAAGCGUGGGGAGCAAACAGGG
rnacentral:rRNA from 1 species